AACGAACGCUGGCGGCAGGCUUAACACAUGCAAGUCGAGCGCCCCGCAAGGGGAGCGGCAGACGGGUGAGUAACGCGUGGGAAUCUACCCAUCCCUACGGAAUAGCUCCGGGAAACUGGAAUUAAUACCGUAUACGCCCUACGGGGGAAAGAUUUAUCGGGGAUGGAUGAGCCCGCGUUGGAUCAGCUAGUUGGUGGGGUAAAGGCCUACCAAGGCGACGAUCCAUGGCUGGUCUGAGAGGAUGAUCAGCCACAUUGGGACUGAGACACGGCCCAAACUCCUACGGGAGGCAGCAGUGGGGAAUAUUGGACAAUGGGGGCAACCCUGAUCCAGCCAUGCCGCGUGAGUGAUGAAGGCCUUAGGGUUGUAAAGCUCUUUCACCGGGGAAGAUAAUGACGGUACCCGGAGAAGAGGCCCCGGCUAACUUCGUGCCAGCCGCCGCAGUAA
rnacentral:rRNA from 1 species